GGGGAAUAUUGGACAAUGGGGGCAACCCUGAUCCAGCCAUGCCGCGUGAGUGAUGAAGGCCUUAGGGUUGUAAAGCUCUUUUACCAGGGAAGAUAAUGACGGUACCUGGAGAAUAAGCCCCGGCUAACUUCGUGCCAGCAGCCGCGGUAAUACGAAGGGGGCUAGCGUUGCUCGGAAUCACUGGGCGUAAAGCGCACGUAGGUGGGUCAUUUAGUCAGGGGUGAAAUCCUGGAGCUCAACUCCAGAACUGCCUCUGAUACUGAUGAUCUUCGAGUCCGGGAGAGGUGGGUGGAACUGCGAGUGUAGAGGUGAAAUUCGUAGAUAUUCGCAAGAACACCAGUGGCGAAGGCGGCUCACUGGCCCCGGUACUGACACUGAGGUGCGAAAGCGUGGGGAGCAAACAG
rnacentral:rRNA from 1 species